rfam:Ictidomys tridecemlineatus contig027501, whole genome shotgun sequence.
GGGGUUGUAGCUCAGUGGUAGAGCACUCCCUUAGCACGGGCGAGGCCCUGGGUUUGAUCCUCAGCACCA